AUGAUCUUAUGCUGGUUGCCUGGUUCUCAUUGUCGUCCUAGCUGUCUAGUUAGUAAGCAGAACUCUGUUAGAGUAAAGCUAGCUGGGAAAUCUGUUUCAGUAUUGUUACCCAACAGACUUAGGCCUAGAUAUAUUAGUUGUAAAUUCAUUAGCUCCAUGUAUCGCAUUAGUUUCGAUGCAAAACACAAGCUGCAAUGUGCCAACUCUUGUCGACAUGUCUAUAUCAGUAUAAAAAUGGUACAUGGUGUUCCUGAUGCUAUUCCUUCUUAUUUUCUGCAGGAGAGGCUGGCAUUUGACAAUAUGGUUCUGUGUGUGCAUUGA
rnacentral:rRNA from 1 species